UGGUAAAUUGGGAACCGUAACCUAAGGGCGGUAGCGUA
rfam:Photobacterium aquae strain CGMCC 1.12159 contig0024, whole genome shotgun sequence.